rnacentral:snRNA from 1 species
GUACUUCGGGGUUCUGCUUGUAUCUGUACUACAAUUGGAACGAUACAGAGAAGAUUAGCAUGGUCCCUGUGCAAUAAUGACACCCCAAAAUUGUGAAGCAUUUGGCAUUUUU